AGGGUUCGAUUCUGGCUCAGAUUGAACGCUGGCGGCGUGCUUAACACAUGCAAGUCGCGCGUGAAAGGACUUCGGUCCGAGUAAAGCGGCGCACGGGUGAGUAACGCGUGGAUGAUCUACCCAUGAGUUAGGAAUAACGGCUGGAAACGGUCGCUAAUACCAAAUACGCUCCGAUUUCAACUUCGGGGGAAAGGUGGCCUCUGCUUGCAAGCUACUGCUCAUGGAUGAGUCCGCGUCCCAUUAGCUAGUUGGUGGGGUAACGGCCCACCAAGGCGACGAUGGGUAGCCGGUCUGAGAGGAUGACCGGCCACACUGGGACUGGAACACGGCCCAGACUCCUACGGGAGGCAGCAGUGGGGAAUAUUGCGCAAUGGGCGAAAGCCUGACGCAGCGACGCCGCGUGAGGGGAAUGAAGGUCCUCGGAUCGUAAACCUCUGUCAGGAGGGAAGAACCGCCACGGUGCUAAUCAGCCGUGGUCUGACGGUACCUCCAAAGGAAGCACCGGCUAACUCCGUGCCAGCCGCCGC
rnacentral:rRNA from 1 species